CAAUAGCGUAUAUUUAAGUUGUUGCAGUUAAAAAGCUCGUAGUUGGAUUUCGGAUGGGAUUUGCCGGUCCGUCGUUACGAUGUGCACUGGCCAGUCCUAUCUUGUUGUCGGGGACUAGCUCCUUGGAUUCACUUCCUGGGACUAGGAGCUGACGAGGUUACUUUGAGUAAAUUAGAGUGUUCAAAGCAAGCCUACGCUCUGAAUACAUUAGCAUGGAAUAACACGAUAGGACUCUGGCUUAUCUUGUUGGUCUGUGAGACCAGAGUAAUGAUUAAGAGGGACAGUCGGGGACAUUCGUAUUUCAUUGUCAGAGGUGAAAUUCUUGGAUUUAUGAAAGACGAACUUCUGCGAAAGCAUUUGUCAAGGAUGUUUUCAUUAA
rnacentral:rRNA from 1 species